rnacentral:rRNA from 1 species
UGGGGAAUAUUGCACAAUGGGGGAAACCCUGAUGCAGCGACGCCGCGUGAGUGAGGAAGUAUUUCGGUAUGUAAAGCUCUAUCAGCAGGGAAGAACAUGACGGUACCUGACUAAGAAGCCCCGGCUAACUACGUGCCAGCAGCCGCGGUAAUACGUAGGGGGCAAGCGUUAUCCGGAUUUACUGGGUGUAAAGGGAGCGUAGACGGAAUUGCAAGUCUGAUGUGAAAAUCCGGGGCCCAACCCCGGAAGUGCAUUGGAAACUGUAUAUCUAGAGUGCCGGAGAGGCAAGUGGAAUUCCUGGUGUAGCGGUGAAAUGCGUAGAUAUCAGGAGGAACACCAGUGGCGAAGGCGGCUUGCUGGACGGUGACUGACGUUGAGGCUCGAAAGCGUGGGGAGCAAACAGG